AUGCAUCAAUCAAAAGUUACCUACAAAAGCACUAGCAAGUACAGGGUCCAUCUGGUGAGAGCUGACCUCACCAAAGUACCACUUCUGGUGGCCUCACCAGGAAGCAUCACAUUGCUGACACUGGGGCUACAUGAAACUGCACCACUGCGGCCUAGGUCUUGGUCAUGUGUCCCCUCUCCUGUGCCUCUUUUCCAGAUAACUCAUUUUGGGUUCCUUCCCCUGCAGCAGCUGGCUGCUGAGCUAUGGCUCAGGAUGGCUGCCCCAGCCUGGGCAUGGCUGCGAAAGGAACCACACAGCAAAGCCACCACCUUGGAUGAACUGCCGGCAGCACCCAAUCACCAACAAGCAGGAACCUAUGCUGGUUAUGUUUCUCUCCAGGGAGGCCUUGAAACCUCCAUACAAAAAGUUGUGAUGUCCAUCAGAGGAGGGCGUGGCCAGACAGCUGGUGACCAUGUGGGUGUUCUUCCGUCAGGUGGAGGGGAAAGAGCGCUGUGUCACAAGUCAAGAACCAAGCUCUGUCACCAGAUCUGUCACUCAGCCGCUGCCUCAGGUGGGAUAUCAAUUCCCUGAGACUCGUCAAUAAAGUGGAUCUAAAUCUCCCCAGUCUAGGCUUUUGGAAUUAAUUGUGUGUAUCAAAUCACUGUGUUAACUGCACAGUCACUUUGUGACUGUGUGAUUCAAAUCUCAGUAGGGGCCCCUGACAUAGAGGAUGAGGGAAGUCUUCCUAGAAGUAAUAACAGAGCCGAAUCAUGCAGAAUGAAGAAAGAAAAGGAGAUCAACAUAGCAAAGGUCAGAAAGGGCCUGGCCUAUUUGAUAACGUGGUCAGAGUUUGUAGAGCUGGGUUCAAGGACUAAAGGAAGUGAGGGUGCGAAGAGGAACCAUGGGCAAGAUCAGGAAGCACCGCACACUCUCCUGUAGAGUCUGGAUUCUUGAUGAGUGUGGGAAAGGAGAAAACAUUUGAAGAGGGAGUGGCCUGAUCAGUUGUGCAUGUAGACAGCUUACCUGGGUGGCAGAAUGGCAGACAGAUUGGAAGUAGUCAAGGAGAAGCAGAGGGAUCUCACAGGCAGGUGAAGUGACCCGGUCAGGGAUGUAAGUGUGAUCAAACAGAAUCGGAGGGGACCUCAGUAACCAAGUGGUUCUGAGGAGGUGGAAUCUGCAGGACGGAUGGCCGGUGAGCAGGGAGGUAAAGGAAAGGACUGACGAUGACUCCCCAGUUUCUGAUGAGGCUGAUGGAUCCAUGGUGUUGACAUUUACUUGGCCUGAGAAAAAGCAGUUUUCAGGGGAAAAGUGAGUUGAAUUUUAGAAACUAAACUAAAAUGCCUGCUAUACCUGUGGGAUAAGAAGCAAAGGUGUCUAAGAAGUAAGGGUGUACCCUGCUGAGGAAACAAUUCUAGAGCAC
rnacentral:lncRNA from 1 species